rnacentral:rRNA from 1 species
GCCAUAAAGCUAGCCAGACAAACCGCCCAAACGCACACAAACAUAUACCCGCAAAUAACCCAAAAUAAGCCAACUAAACCAUUCUCCCCCCCUAGUAUGUGAGACAGAAAAGGACAAAACCUGAGCAACAGAAAAAGUACCGCAAGGGAAAACUGAAAGAGACAUGAAAUAGACCACCAAAGCAUAAAAAAGCAAAGACUAAACCUUGUACCUUUUGCAUCAUGAUCUAGCCAGAAUGCCCAGGCAAAGAGCCCUAUAGUCUGACCCCCCGAAACUAAGUGAGCUACUCCGAGACAGCACAUUAGAGCCAACCCGUCUCUGUUGCAAAAGAGUGGGAAGAUCUCCGAGUAGAGGCGACAAACCUAACGAACUUAGUGAUAGCUGGUUGCUUAAGAAAUGGACAUAAGUUCAGCCCUAUCCCCCUCUCAGAUCACAGCCAAAACCAUAAGAACCCGAGAAGGCAUAGGAGUUAGCCAGAGGAGGUACAGCUCCUCUAGAAAAGAAUACAAUCUCCACAGAUGGAUAAGGAUCACACUAACCAAGGCACUCUGCCCCAGUUGGCUUAAGAGCAGCCACCCAGACAGAAAGCGUUGAAGCUCAAGCAGAAAACAAGCCAAUUAUCCUGAUACACUCUCCAACUCCUCCAACAAUAUUAAGCCAUUCUAUGCCCACAUAGAAGUAACAAUGCUAGAAUCAGUAAUAAGGGGAAACAACCCCCUCCAAGCACAUGUGUAAGUCAGAUCGGACCAACCACUGACAAAUAACAGAACCCAACUAAAGAGGGCACUACAGACUAAAAAAUAAACAAGAAAAGCCUGCAAAUCUAAAUCGUUAACCCAACACAGGAGUGCAACAUAAGGAAAGACUCAAUGAAGAAAGAAGGAACUCGGCAACCACGGGCCCCGCCUGUUUACCAAAAACAUGGCCUCCUGCAACCCACAAAUAAGAGGUCCAACCUGCCCAGUGACAAUAAGUUUAACGGCCGCGGUAUUUUAACCGUGCUAAGGUAGCGUAAUCACUUGUCUUUUAAAUGAAGACCCGUAUGAAAGGUGUCACGAGGGCCCACCUGUCUCCUACUUCAAGUCUAUGAAAUUGAUCUGCCCGUGCAGAAGCGGGCAUACCCACAUAAGACGAGAAGACCCUGUGGAGCUUAAGGCCAUUGACCAAUCAUGCCUAGUAAUCUACCCACCAAACCACAAAAAGAUCAAACAAGCCUAAUGAUAAUGGUUUAAUACCUUCGGUUGGGGCGACCAUGGGGGAUAAAAAAGCCCCCAAGAAGAAACAGGGGAUCAACUCCACCAAUCCCUAAGAGUCAAGAGCUACAACUCUAAACAACAGAAACAUCUGACUAAUAAUGACCCAGACACCAUGUCUGAUCAACGGACCAAGUUACCCCAGGGAUAACAGCGCAAUCCUUUCCAAGAGUCCAUAUCGCCGAAAGGGUUUACGACCUCGAUGUUGGAUCAGGACAUCCUAGUGGCGAAAAUUCUACCAAGGGUUCGUUUGUUCAACGAUUAAAGUCCUACGUGAUCUGAGUUCAGACCGGAGCAAUCCAGGUCGGUUUCUAUCUAUGCAUUUCCCCUUCCCAGUACGAAAGGACCGGAAGGAAGGGGGGCCCAUAUUUAAAACACGCCCCACCUCUACCCAAUGAAAACAACUAAAAUACUAAAGAGGAACACAAACCACAGCCCAAGACAAGGGCUA